rnacentral:lncRNA from 1 species
AGACGUUGAUGGGAAAUGGCUGACAGCAGGAUAAACAAGCAGCUCCCUUUUUGGUGAGCUUCAGGGGAAUCAGGUGGACAGAAUCAAGGCUUCAGCCCUAAAGAUGAGAAUUUAAGCUGGAUCUCCUAGAGGAGUUGGGAUCAAGUCUAUGUACUUGGAGAAUACAAGAGAAGGACCCAGCUGGGUGUGGUGGCUCACACCUGUAAUCCCAGCACUUUGGGAGGCCGAGGCGGGCGGAUUACCUGAGGUCAUGAGCCCCAGACCAGACUGGCCAACAUGGCGAAACGCUGUCUCUACUAAAAAUACAAAAAUUAGCCUGGCAUGGUGGUGCACACCUGUAAUCCCACCUACUCAGGAGUCUGAGGCAGGAGAAUCACUUGAACCCAGGAGGCAGAGGUUGCAGUGAGCCAAGAUUGCACCACUACACUCCAGCCUCGGUGACAGGGUGAGACUCUGUCUCAAAAAAAAAAAAAGAGAGAGAGAGAAGGA